UGUUAUGUUUGUUACCUUGUCAAUAACAUUGUUAUCAAGGCAAGAUUAAUAUGGUUUUAACCAUCAUCUCGAUAUCAUGGCCCUGUAAAUUUCCAACAACGAACACCACUAUGUAAGGAGUGCCACCAACUACAACGAGCAUCGGGAGAUAUGGGAGAGCAAUGUGGCCAGCUUCAUUGCAAAAACAUGCACAACAAUGGUUGAAGUAGCGAUGAGGAUAGUCAACCGAAGACUUGCAUUGCCAACUCCGAGACAAAAUUGGUGUUCAAUAUUAGAUAUGGGAAAGCGGUUGCCAUUGCCACAUUUGACCCGCUAUGGAUUAUCUGCUACGAUGGCUCUACUCCCAAGUACUACUGGAAUUAUUUGGAGAAAAAAAUGUUCCGAUCUUUAAAGGAAGUUGAAAAGUACAUAGAAUCAGGUAUUGUCCCAAAAUAUGUGCCAAAGAAUAAGAAGCCAAGACUUGAAGCAAACAAUAUCGUGGAUGAAAAAUUUCAUGAGCACAUGAGCAGCCAAGGGGCUAUGAGUUCUACUUAGGAUUUGUAAGUGAACCUUCAUAAUAUUGUUUCAGGGAAGGUAGUUCGAUUGCAGAUUAUUUAACAAAAUCCGCUGCAAAAGAUGGAGUUUCGUCUAUAAUGAUUGUACUUUUUUUUUUUUAAAUAAUUGUACCUCACCUUUAUAAGCAAGAUAGCUUCCGAUGGAUGUGCAUUGCAGACUGAGAUAUGGUUGGGGUGGGAGUAAAAAUUAUGUUUUGCUUGUUCGUGAAAAUACUUAAUCUCCAAGAUGUAUAUGUCAUAGACAAUUGAGAAUUUUAAUUUUUUUCAGUUUUAAGAA